GCCCUCAGGAGUAGCGUAUAUACUACAAGUGGAAUGAUACAGAGAAGAUUAGCAUGGUUCCUGCUCAAGGGUAACAUGCACAUUUGUGAAGUAUUCCAUAUUAAA
ensembl:snRNA U6 U6 spliceosomal RNA